GACGAACGCUGGCGGCGUGCUUAACACAUGCAAGUCGAACGGAAAGGCCCCAGCUUGCUGGAGUACUCGAGUGGCGAACGGGUGAGUAACACGUGGGUAAUCUGCCCUGCACUCUGGGAUAAGCCUGGGAAACUGGGGCUAGUACUGGAUAUGACCUUUCUCCGUAUGGGGUUGGGUGGAAAGUUUUUCGGUGUAGGAUGAGCCCGCGGCCUAUCAGCUUGUUGGUGGGGUGAUGGCCUACCAAGGCGACGACGGGUAGCCGGCCUGAGAGGGUGAUCGGCCACAUUGGGACUGAGAUACGGCCCAGACUCCUACGGGAGGCAGCAGUGGGGAAUAUUGCACAAUGGGCGGAAGCCUGAUGCAGCAACGCCGCGUGAGGGAUGACGGCCUUCGGGUUGUAAACCUCUUUCAGCAGGGACGAAGCGUAAGUGACGGUACCUGCAGAAGAAGCACCGGCUAACUAUGUG
rnacentral:rRNA from 1 species